rnacentral:miRNA from 1 species
UUGCUGGAUAACAUUUUCAGA